GGUCCAGGAUGCCUUCACUUACUGAUAGUGGCCAGGCUGUUGGUCUCAAGUGGCCUCAGCUGGGUAAGCUUGCCUUGCUCCACUAUGCAUUAUCUAAUUAGCUCAAAUUGUACUGGCUCUGCCAUUUUAUGUACAGCAAAGACCGCCAGCAUCCUCCUAGACUCUUAAACACACACCCAGUUAUUUAUUUUUUGAGUCUUGGUUGGAGUCUCACAUAAGCUCAUCACUUGUCAUCUGAAGUUCUUCCUCUUCAGUACUCUUGUGGAAAUGUGUUUCCCACAAAGCCACCGCAGGUGCUAUAAUCUCUUACCUGGAUUAUUUAGCCCUUGUGAAAAUACUGUCAUGUGUGGAUAGUUGUUCAAAUUGAUGUUUCUGGAAGGGGACAAGUAUCACUCUCUCUGUAUUACUUCAUAGAGAAUAGAGAACCUACAGACCCACAUGUAUUGAAGUUUGAAACCACCUGUGUAAACAGCACACAGAUCAAGGACCACUUUACCCUGUUUCUCACACCAUAGCUUUGCUGUUCUAAGAGAAGUCAAGGUGAAGGGUUUAAUGCCUCUGAAGCUGGGGCAAGAAAACAAUCGCCUUCUCCAACGGUCAGUAAAGAAUACAAGGGCACAGUUAAAACAGAGCCACUGAAGUGAACAACCUUGAUGCGACCAACAGGAGAAACACCCCCUCCAGUUGAAUCAUGGGUGUGAGAACAUUCAACUACAAAAAAAGUCACAGAUGCACGAAAAUCAGAGCUUAAAGAAUUGUAAAAACACAUCUGGUUUAAUCCCCUCUCUUUAAAGAUGGAGAAAUCAAGAUACAGAAAGGCAGUGGACCUUGUUUCUGGUGGCUCAGCCACGUAAGGGUAAAGCCCUGGCAUACUGACGGUGUG